rnacentral:misc_RNA from 1 species
UCCGGUUUGUCACCGGCAGUCUCCCUAGAGUGCCCUUGCGUAGCAACUAGGGACAAGGGUUGCGCUCGUUGCGGGACUUAACCCAACAUCUCACGACACGAGCUGACGACAGCCAUGCAGCACCUGUGUUCCGAUUCCCUUUCAGGCACACCCACCUUUCAGCAGGCUCUCGGACAUGUCAAGGGUAGGUAAGGUGGGGAUGACGUUUAGGAGCUCGAC